AAUAGCCUAACGGCUGAACCAGCAACUUGGAGGAAUGUAUAGCAAUAGCUACUUGCAUCAUUGUACUGAUGAUGCAAGAUUGACUGUGUUGAAUAAAAUUCUAGGUAGAAUUAUGAUAAUGACAUUGUCUGCCUAUGUGUCUUGACCAAAUUACGUGCCAGCAGUCGCGGUAAUACGUAGAAGCCAAGUGUUAUUCAUGUUUAAUCGGUUUAAAGGGUACCUAGACGGUAAAUCAAGCCUAUAAAUAAAAGUAAUAAAGGGACUAAUUUGCUAGAGUUACUUAUGAGGGGGUAUUAAAGUACUGCUGGUGUAGAGAUGAAAUUCUGUUAUACCUCUUUUCAAUAGAAAAAUUAUGGCACAGGUAUAGGCGAAGGCAUCCCCUUAUGUGAUAA
rnacentral:rRNA from 1 species